rnacentral:rRNA from 1 species
CGAACGGGUGAGUAACACGUGGGUAACCUGCCCAUCAGAAGGGGAUAACACUUGGAAACAGGUGCUAAUACCGUAUAACAAUCRAAACCGCAUGGUUUUGAUUUGAAAGGCGCUUUCGGGUGUCGCUGAUGGAUGGACCCGCGGUGCAUUAGCUAGUUGGUGAGGUAACGGCUCACCAAGGCCACGAUGCAUAGCCGACCUGAGAGGGUGAUCGGCCACAUUGGGACUGAGACACGGCCCAAACUCCUACGGGAGGCAGCAGUAGGGAAUCUUCGGCAAUGGACGAAAGUCUGACCGAGCAACGCCGCGUGAGUGAAGAAGGUUUUCGGAUCGUAAAACUCUGUUGUUAGAGAAGAACAAGGAUGAGAGUAACUG